UUUAGCCCUGAUCCAGAAACAUCUAUGGGUCUAGUGCAGCAUGAAGGUGGGCCCUGUGGCGUUUUAGCAGCAAUUCAAGCAUUUGUUCUCAAAUACCUCCUUUUCUGCCCAGCUGAAUUAGGUAAAGUUGUACCAAACGUGCAUCACAAUAUGGGUUCAAGGACACUGUCUAAUAGUCCGUGUGUUGCAUCGAAUAAUUUUGCCUCUCUUACUGAAGAUGCAAAAGCAAGGUGAUUAAUCGUUGCAUGGUAAAUUAUACAUCUGUGGUUUUAGUUGAUGAUGCUUAUGCAUUAUGUUAUUCAUAUUGGACUUUUACUGUUUCAUAGUCCAAUCUAGGGAGAAUCAUAGAAAUCUGUUUAAAGCAUAUGAUCCUGUACAUCCUUUCUGGUUUACUCAUUUCUGUAGCCAAUUGUUUAGUUGCGUGUUUACACACUGCAAACUGGUGUCGUCCUUUGUAAGUUUACACUAAUUUUACUGUCCUAAUGCUGUUUAACUUCUGGUUCUUUCCAUAACUUUGAGUAUGGAAUUUUUUUUCUAGGAUGCGCAGAAUGCUUUUUCAGUUGUUUUUGUCCCACUAUCAUCAUUUUAACCUGCACGCUUAUAAAGUCUAACUUUUCAUAACUAUUUUACUUUUAUAUGUCAAAGUUUUGUAGUAUUUACUUUCUCCAUGUAUGUUGUCUCCAGAAAUCAUCUAUAAUUUUUUGAACUUUGUUUUACGCGUAGACACAAUAUACUCUUUCAUGUGCAAGGCUUCCUGCUUAUAUGAUUAUUAUUUUCUCUUAAAUCUGGCACAAAGUCUUUGUAGAACCUUCAUUUAUAUCAAUACUUCCAUGUC